rnacentral:rRNA from 1 species
UACGUAGGGGGCAAGCGUUAUCCGGAAUUACUGGGUGUAAAGGGUGCGUAGGCGGUAAUGUAAGUCAGGUGUGAAAGCCCGAAGCUCAACUUCGGGACUGCACUUGAAACUACAUAACUAGAGUACAGGAGAGGUGAGUGGAAUUCCUAGUGUAGCGGUGAAAUGCGUAGAUAUUAGGAGGAACACCAGUGGCGAAGGCGACUCACUGGACUGUAACUGACGCUGAGGCACGAAAGCGUGGGGAGCGAACAGGAUUAGAUACCCGUGU